UACGGAGGGUGCAAGCGUUAUCCGGAUUCACUGGGUUUAAAGGGUGCGUAGGCGGAAUGAUAAGUCAGUGGUGAAAUCCUGCAGCUUAACUGCAGAACUGCCAUUGAUACUGUCAAUCUUGAGUACAUUUGAUGUGGGCGGAAUGUGUCAUGUAGCGGUGAAAUGCUUAGAUAUGACACAGAACACCGAUUGCGAAGGCAGCUCACAAAACUGUAACUGACGCUGAGGCACGAAAGCGUGGGUAUCAAACAGG
rnacentral:rRNA from 1 species